AAUGGGCGCAAGCCUGAUCCAGCAAUACCGCGUGUGUGAAGAAGGCCUUAGGGUUGUAAAGCACUUUCAAUUGGGAGGAAAACCUACCGGUCAAUACCCGGUAGCUUGACAUUACCUUUAGAAGAAGCACCGGCUAACUCCGUGCCAGCAGCCGCGGUAAUACGGAGGGUGCAAGCGUUAAUCGGAAUUACUGGGCGUAAAGCGUGCGUAGGCGGUUCGUUAAGUCAGAUGUGAAAGCCCCGGGCUCAACCUGGGAACUGCAUUUGAAACUGGCGAACUAGAGUUGAGUAGAGGGGAGUGGAAUUUCAGGUGUAGCGGUGAAAUGCGUAGAUAUCUGAAGGAACACCAGUGGCGAAGGCGACUCCCUGGACUCAAACUGACGCUGAGGUACGAAAGCGUGGGUAGCAAA
rnacentral:rRNA from 1 species